UUAGUAGGAAUCAUAAUCCUAACAAUUGGUAUCAGAGCCACCCUUCAUUUUGGAUAAUUUGGAUGAUCAUAAGGUUUAUGUUAUGUUAGAAAUCAUGUUUAAGUUUACUUAGAAUUUUGUUUAUGAAAUUCUACCAUGAAAUAGCAUGAUCUUAUGAUUGUUAUGUUGAUGAUGUAUUUGUUAUUAUGUCAUUGGAUUCAGCAUGAUUUUAGUAGGUUAACAACAUGUUUUUUUUUAUGUUUAAGAUCCAUGUUGAAAAUCAUGUGUUAUUCAGAAAACAAUUUUGGUCACAGCCAGUCAGACAAUCGAUUGUUGCCUUAAACAAUCGAUUGUCUGAGACGUUUAAAAUUCUGGCAGUUAAUUUUUGUGAGUUGAAACGUUUCCAGUAACUGAAUUUUUUUUU
rnacentral:lncRNA from 1 species